UACGGGGGGGGCAAGCGUUGUUCGGAAUUACUGGGCGUAAAGGGCGCGUAGGCGGCCUGCUAAGUCGGACGUGAAAUCCCCGGGCUCAACCUGGGAACUGCAUCCGAAACUGCCUUGCUAGAGUAUGGGAGAGGGAAGUGGAAUUUCCGGUGUAGCGGUGAAAUGCGUAGAUAUCGGAAGGAACAUCAGUGGCGAAGGCGACUUCCUGGACCAAUACUGACGCUCAGGUGCGAAAGCGUGGGGAGCAAACAGG
rnacentral:rRNA from 1 species